AUUGCACAAUGGGCGAAGCCUGAUGCAGCUAUACCGCGUGUAUGAAGAAGGCCUUAGGGUUGUAAAGUACUUUCGUUGGGGAGGAAAAAUAAAUAGAUAAUACCUGUUUAUCGUGACGUUACCCAAAAAAGAAGCACCGGCUAACUCCGUGCCAGCAGCCGCGGUAAUACGGAGGGUGCAAGCGUUAAUCAGAAUUACUGGGCGUAAAGAGCUCGUAGGCGGUUUUUUAAGUCAGAUGUGAAAUCCCUGGGCUUAACCUAGGAACUGCAUUUGAAACUAAAAGACUAGAGUAUCGUAGAGGGAGGUAGAAUUCUAGGUGUAGCGGUGAAAUGCGUAGAUAUCUGGAGGAAUACCUGUGGCGAAAGCGGCCUCCUAAAUGAAUACUGACGCUGAGGUGCGAAAGCAUGGGGAGCAAACAGGAUUAGAUACCCUGGUAGUCCAUGCCGUAAACGAUGUCGACUUGGAGGUUGUUUCCUUGAGAAGUGACUUCCGAAGCUAACGCGUUAAGUCGACCGCCUGGGGAGUACGGUCGCAAGGCUAAAACUCAAAUGAAUUGACGGGGGCCCGCACAAGCGGUGGAGCAUGUGGUUUAAUUCGAUGCAACGCGAAAAACCUUACCUGGUCUUGACAUCCACAGAAUUUUUCAGAGAUGAAAAAGUGCCUUAGGGAACUGUGAGACAGGUGCUGCAUGGCUGUCGUCAGCUCGUGUUGUGAAAUGUUGGGUUAAGUCCCGCAACGAGCGCAACCCUUAUCCUCUGUUGCCAUUGGUUCGGCCAGGAACUCAGAGGAGACUGCCGGUUAUAAACCGGAGGAAGGCGGGGACGACGUCAAGUCAUCAUGGCCCUUACGACCAGGGCUACACACGUGCUACAAUGGUGUAUACAAAGAGAAGCAACUCUGUAAAGACAAGCAAACCUCAU
rnacentral:rRNA from 2 species